rnacentral:tRNA from 1 species
AAAGUGGUAGGUUAAUUAAUAAACUAUUGGGUUGUGGGAUCAGUGAUAUAUAUUGUGUUUUAUCUGCUUUA